rnacentral:rRNA from 1 species
AGAACGAACGCUGGCGGCAUGCCUAACACAUGCAAGUCGAACGAGACCUUCGGGUCUAGUGGCGCACGGGUGCGUAACGCGUGGGAAUCUGCCCUUAGGUACGGAAUAACAGUGAGAAAUUACUGCUAAUACCGUAUGAUGUCUUCGGACCAAAGAUUUAUCGCCUAGGGAUGAGCCCGCGUAGGAUUAGCUAGUUGGUGGGGUAAAGGCCUACCAAGGCGACGAUCCUUAGCUGGUCUGAGAGGAUGAUCAGCCACACUGGGACUGAGACACGGCCCAGACUCCUACGGGAGGCAGCAGUGGGGAAUAUUGGACAAUGGGCGAAAGCCUGAUCCAGCAAUGCCGCGUGAGUGAAGAAGGCCUUCGGGUUGUAAAGCUCUUUUACCCGGGAAGAUAAUGACUGUACCGGGAGAUAAGCCCCGGCUAACUCCGCGCCAGCAGCCGC